AUUGAACGCUGGCGGCAGGCCUAACACAUGCAAGUCGAGCGGAUGAAGGGAGCUUGCUCCUGGAUUCAGCGGCGGACGGGUGAGUAAUGCCUAGGAAUCUGCCUGGUAGUGGGGGAUAACGUCCGGAAACGGGCGCUAAUACCGCAUACGUCCUGAGGGAGAAAGUGGGGGAUCUUCGGACCUCACGCUAUCAGGUGAGCCUAGGUCGGAUUAGCUAGUUGGUGGGGUAAAGGCCUACCAAGGCGACGAUCCGUAACUGGUCUGAGAGGAUGAUCAGUCACACUGGAACUGAGACACGGUCCAGACUCCUACGGGAGGCAGCAGUGGGGAAUAUUGGACAAUGGGCGAAAGCCUGAUCCAGCCAUGCCGCGUGUGUGAAGAAGGUCUUCGGAUUGUAAAGCACUUUAAGUUGGGAGGAAGGGCAGUAAGUUAAUACCUUGCUGUUUUGACGGUACCAACAGAAUAAGCACCGGCUAACUUCGUG
rnacentral:rRNA from 1 species